GCAGGUAAAGGAGAGCUGGGACUGCAGGUAAAGGAGAGCUGGGACUGCAGGUAAAGGAGAGCUGGGACUGCAGGUAAAGGAGAGCUGGGACUGCAGGUAAAGGAGAGCUGGGAUUAGCAGGUAAAGGAGAGCUGGGAUUGCAGGUAAAGGAGAGCUGGGAUUGCAGGUAAAGGAGAGCUGGGAUUGCAGGUAAAGGAGAGCUGGGACUGCAGGUAAAGGAGAGCUGGGACUGCAGGUAAAGGAGAGCUGGGACUGCAGGUAAAGGAGAGCUGGGAUUGCAGGUAAAGGAGAGCUGGGACUGCAGGUAAAGGAGAGCUGGGAUUGCAGGUAAAGGAGAGCUGGGACUGCAGGUAAAGGAGAGCUGGGAGUGCAGGUAAAGGAGAGCUGGGAGUGCAGGUAAAGGAGAGCUGGGAUUAGCAGGUGAAGGAGAGCUGGGAGUGCAGGUAAAGGAGAGCUGGGAGUGCAGGUAAAGGAGAGCUGGGACUGCAGGUAAAGGAGAGCUGGGAUUGCAGGUAAAGGAGA